UCUUCCUGUGUGCAGACAGGCGGCAGAGGCCGGGCGGCCUCUGCUGUGCGUUACUGCAUGACGGUUGGUUGGCGCGGUGGUCCUGGUGGUUGGGACACUCUGCUUUGCAUCAUGGAGCGUAGGUAAUGCUGCUGUCCAGCCUGGCUCACUGCCCGCCACCGUGAAACAGCCAUCACCCGAGAUGCCCCCGACUUGGCUCAAGGCUGUCAUCUUCCUCUGCGGCAGCAUGGGUGGUCUGCUUGUGUUCUUUGGCCUGCUUUGGUCCAUCCAGAAAAGGACAAAGAAGUCAAGCCAGGGGGACUUCUACCGACUCUCCAGAGACCUGUACCGCCUUGCUGUGGAGUGUCCUGUGAAGGAGACCUAUAGGCCUCCCAAGGAGGCUGCCAUUCCCACUUAUGAGGAGACCAUGUACUACCCACUGGCUGAGGGUCCCCUGCAAUUUCCUGUGCAGCCUGAAGAAGACCUCCAAUGCCACACCCCAGAGGGUGCCCAGCUGGGGUCGACAUCCUUCUCACCCCCGCCCAGCUACAAGAGCAUCCUCCUCGCUCAGGGGCCUGUUUCU
rnacentral:lncRNA from 1 species